rnacentral:rRNA from 1 species
UACGUAGGGUGCAAGCAUUGUCCGGAAUUAUUGGGCGUAAAGAGUUCGUAGGCGGUUUGUCGCGUCCGUUGUGAAAGCUUGGGGCUCAACCCCAAGUCUGCGGUGGAUACGGGCAGACUAGAGUCAGGUAGGGGAGAACGGAAUUCCUGGUGUAGCGGUGAAAUGCGCAGAUAUCAGGAGGAACACCGGUGGCGAAGGCGGUUCUCUGGGCCUGUACUGACGCUGAGGAACGAAAGCGUGGGGAGCGAACAGG